rnacentral:misc_RNA from 1 species
AUACUACUCCCUACAAUUUCUUCAAUAGAGGAAAGUUGUAGAGGGAUUUGGGAGUUAUUGCAGUGCAUACAUUGCUCUCCUUAAAUGAAUUAGCAGUGAUUAUUAUUAAAGAUCCUUUGGUUGAUGUGAUAGUUAUCUCCUCUCAGCCCUUCUUUGAAUAAUCAUUUCUGCUUAAAGUUGUCUUUGCUAAAGAGACAGUUACAAU